rnacentral:lncRNA from 1 species
AUAUUUGAUAAUUAAUUUUCUUAGCCUCCGGGCCAAGUUGCCCCACACUUGUAGCUUAAUUUACUAAUUUAUUGAAUGAAGCGGGUAACGUGCUACCUAUUUCUUAAAAAAAUAUUUAAUAAUUAAUUUUUAAAAUUAAUAACUAAUUUUUUAGAUGCAAUUUAAAAUAUUUAAAGAUUUAUGGAUAAAAAAUAAGUUGAAAAUAUAAAUCAAUUAGGAUUCGAAUUUGAAAUCUCGGAUAUCAAUCAUCAAAUUCUUUACCACUUGCACCAGGGACGGUUGGUAAAAAAAUCGUUAAUUUCAAAAGGUAUUGUAUUGGCAAUCGGUAGAUUGAAAGUAUAGAAGAAGAUAUUAUUU